GCUCCUGGAUCUUGGCCCAGUGGUGCCCCCAUGUGCACACCCUCAUCAGAUGCCACAGCUUUGCCCUGGGAGACGGGAGUUAAGUAGAGAUCCAGGCCUUAUCCUCUUUUCAAAUUUCAAGAGACAACACUUUCAUCAACUGCUGUUUUUCACAACAGCCUCCACCAAAGUCCACAGCUAGAAGCAAGAAUUUAAUUUCCCCAGAAAGCGCGCAGUGGGCAAGGGGAGAGUAGGCGUUCCUGGCUUUAUCUUUGGAGAGGCAUCCAGAUGCCGGUUAAUUCGCCAGCUUGUGGCUCCGAAUUGUAGGUAACUUCCUAUCCUACCUGCUUUUUUACAAAUACGUUCAAACAGUUGAAAUGUUAACUCAAAUUUAUGCUAAAAUUUAUGUUUCUACUAUGGAAGGUUGAAGGCAUAAAGAACAGUAUAAGAGCUCCGUAGCUCCGUGUAAUAAAUGACAGGAUAAUAUAACUUGAAUAUCACUAUUUGCAACUACUAAUGAUACUGGAUGCAUGGAAGAUAAGAGUGCUUAUUAACUUCAAAAAUAGACUCUUCCAAGAUAACAGUUGCCUGCUGAUGGAUGCUCACAAAACCACCUUAGAAUGCAUCUUUCUGUAAAACAGAACAUGAACCCGAUCAAGACUUCAUUUCCAACUAUUAUUCCCCUUGGAACAACAGAUGCCAGACUGAAAUGUUAAGUGAAACCGUGGAAUUGCAAUAAACAAAAUGCAAACUGUAUAAAACUCUGCAAGACAUACAAUCCCAUUCCUUCUAGAAAUAAUUAACAUACUCUUCCUCCUCCUCCUCCUCAUCAUCAUCCCUCUCCACCCCCACCCCAACAAGCUAUGGAGAUUGAAGAGACUUCACAUACAGAUCAAUCAGUUGCACACUGUGGAUUUUACAAAGAUCCUUAAUCAAAUAAAAUGUAAAAACCAGGGAACAAACAAGACAA